UGGAUUUAUAUUUGUCAGCAUUUUUUUUUUUUUCAAUUUAAACCUGGUGCCAAGAAUCACAUUACUAUGUGGCUUUUGUCCAAGACCUGAAAGCAUAACUUUGAUAUCCUUUAACUUUGGAAGAUUAUUGGCAAAAAAAAGUCUGCUCAUCAGAUUAUACAACUAAAAGACAAACCCCAGAGCCAAAAACCCCAGUCAUAUAAAUCUUCAGCACCUGAGCAGCUGGAUGAUGAGAUAAAAAAUGAACCUACCAGGGAGAAGUGCUACCCUUCUUCUUCACAGAAAAGUGAGCUCCAGACUUCAGUCAUUGCUGCAAGGAACAGAGGCGGAGGCUUCAAAUCAGAACAUCUUGUCAACGCUUGUGUGAUCUUCUGCCCUUCGUCAAUGGUCAGUUAGAUAUAGCAACCACACUAGAGCUCACCGUGAAUUAUAUAAGCUAUCUGAAAGAGACUCUUCCUCCAGGCAUUCUGUCUAAAGUUGUUAAAGUGGUUGAGAUGAAUUCCAGCAUUUUCUGGAAAAGCAUACAGAGAUCACAAAAGAAAAGAAAAACGAUCAGGCUUAAAAAGAAUGGCUCACAGAGGACAAAGCCGGCUGUUAAAAAGUCAAAUAGUGUCUCAAGAAGCCCUCAGAAGGACCUCUGUAAAGAAGUAAAUCAGCCAUCUAUCACAAUAAAUAGUCCUCUGACGAUGGAUGAAACACUUCCUCGAGCGCACAGCCUGACCACAGCACAUGCCCCGCCAAUAUUGUUGGAUAAAUCGACUGUUCCCCGAGGACAAAUGCUGCCAGUGUGCCAGGAUCAAUUUCUCUCUGCCUCAUUUCAAUUUGUGGAAAAUAACUGGAUAAAUUCAUCCACCGCAUUUAUGAAUGCAACUUCAUGUGUUUUCACAUCAGCAGAUAUCAGCCACACUUUUUUACCCAGCUCAUCUUCAAGCCAUAUGUUAUGGGAUGCUGCUUCUCACCAGGUGGAUCCUGUUACUUUCCUAUCAGGUCAUUGUGGCCAAGCCUAUACCCCACCUGAAAAAACUGAAGUGUGUUACACUGACUUACCUCAGGUUAGCCAACCCGACAGCGUAUCAGUAGAAGAUUUUACAAGCCAACUAGUUAUCCCACCAUGUAAACUUCAAAGUGAACCUUCAAGCUCUAAUGACCUCACUCUUGCAGUUUCAGAAGCUUUGUGCGAUUCAAGACUUUUCCAAGAAAGUGACAACUGCAGUAGCCCUUUGACAGACAGUCAAUGUGAUGUGGUUAGUCCAUUUUGGCUCGAUUUGCUUUUGGAUAGCAGUAGUAACUUGUGCUUCCCUGAUCCUAAUCUUGUAGAUUUUGUCCUUUCCUCUGAAACGGGGCCUGAUUAAGUACAAAGCUACUGCAACUUUGCAGUUUUAAAUGGCCAGCUAGUAGAGAGAUGGCUGUAUUUUUUUUUUUUUUUUUUUCCUUUUUUAUUUUAAUUUAUGUAUAAAAGAUGUUUUGACUGCAGUGAUGCUGACAAAAAGUAAAUGUAUGUAAAUGCAUAUACAGAAAGUUUCGAAAUGAGAAAUGAUUAGCUUGUAGCAACACCAGAAGGUCUUUAUGUAGUUAGGUCUGCAGACUUCAUUAAAUGUGUUUUGCCAAUA